AGUUUGAUCCUGGCUCAGAUUGAACGCUUUCGGCAUGCCUUACACAUGCAAGUCGAACGGCAACACUGGAGCUUGCUCCUGGAGGCGAGUGGAGAACGGGUGAAUAAUAUAUCAGAACGUACCCUAGAGGGGGAGAUAACGCAGAAAAAGUUGCUCUAAUACCGCAUACCAUCUACGGAUGAAAGUGGGGGAUCGCAAGACCUCAUGCUCAUGGAGCGGCCAAUAUCUGAUUAUCUAGGUGGUGGGGAAAAGGCCUACCAAGGCAUCAAUCAGUAGCUGGUCUGAAAGGACAACCACCCACACUGGAACUGAAACACGGUCCAAACUCCUACGGAAGGCAGCGGGGGGGAUUUUUGAACAGUGGGGGCAACCCUGAUCCACCAUUGCCGCGGGAGUGAAGAAGGCCUUCGGGUUGAAAAGUUCUUUUGUCAGGGAAGAAACGGUGAGGGCUAAAUAUCCUUUGCUAAUGACGGUACUUGAAGAAUAAGCACCGGCUAUCUACGUGCCAGCAGCCGCGGUAAUAUGUAGGGUGCAAGCGUUAAUCGGAAUUACUGGGUGUAAAGCGUGCGCAGGCGGUUAUGUAAGUCAGAUGUGAAAUCCCCGGGCUCAACCUGGGAAUGGCAUUUGAGACUGCAUGGCUAGAGUGUGUCAGAGGGGGGUAGAAUUCCACGUGUAGCAGUGAAAUGUGUAGAGGUGUGGGGGUUUCCCGGUGGCGGGGGCCGCCCCCUGGGAUUCCUCUGGCGCUCCUGCGCGAGCGCGUGGGGCGCAAAAAGGUUUUGNUCCCCUGGUNGUCCNCGCUCUNCCCCCUCAUAGGAGUUGUCGGGGCUUAAUUGUCUUGGUAACCCAGCUAACGCGUGAAAGUAGACCGCCUGGGGAGUACGGUCGCAAGAUUAAAACUCAAAGGAAUUGACGGGGACCCGCACAAGCGGUGGAUUAUGUGGAUUAAUUCGAUGCAAACGCGAAAAACCUUACCUGGCCUUGACAUGCCACUAACGAAGCAGAGAUGCAUUAGGUGCCCGAAAGG
rnacentral:rRNA from 1 species